GGAGAUGCCUUUUCUCUUGUCAUCUCGUGCUGCCUGUAAAAAUUAAAAAAGAUCAUAGAGGUGGUUUAACAGCUGCUUGUUUGCUGGGAGUAUUUUACCAAGAUACAAGUUUGGCAUGUAUUCACAGGAGGUAAUAUCUGCAACACAUCUGCUGCACACCCGGGUGCUCAGAAGGUUUUAUCUAACACUCCAGGAGUCAGCAAAGUGACAAAAAUGGCUUGCCUACACCAGUUCUCUGAGAAGUUUCUAGGAAUGUGCCCUGAACUGCGGAAUGAAAGAGCAUAGUAGAUGACCUAAAGGACUCCUCACCAAAAAUGUGAGGGAACACAAGAUAGAACACCAAAUAUUCCAAAAAUGUUUUGAUCAACAUUAAACCAGCACCCAAGGCAGCACUUCCAAGUGAAAAAUAGUUCAGUACAUUUUUAUGUUUGAAAUCAGAAAGGGAUAACAGUUAACUGAAGUGGGGAAAAAAAACAACCUUCAGCAAUAAAAUAAAUAUAAAAAUGGAAGUGUUGCUGUCCAGGCAUGUCUGGGUUAUCAGGGGACCUGGUUCAUUGGCAUAAAGCUCCUGGACUCUGCUCACA